AGGGAUAUAGCUCAGUGGUAGAGCACUUGCCUGAUAUGCAGAAAACCCCAAGUUUAAUCCUA
rnacentral:tRNA from 1 species